rnacentral:tRNA from 1 species
AGCGGGGUGGAGCAGCCAGGAGUGCUCGUCGAGGUUUUCCACCCGGAGGUCGAAGGUUCAAAUCCUUCCCCCGCUA